rnacentral:rRNA from 1 species
UACGUAGGGUGCAAGCGUUGUCCGGAAUUACUGGGCGUAAAGGGCUCGUAGGCGGCCAACUAAGUCAGACGUGAAAUCCCUCGGCUUAACCGGGGAACUGCGUCUGAUACUGGAUGGCUUGAAUCCGGGAGAGGGAUGCGGAAUUCCAGGUGUAGCGGUGAAAUGCGUAGAUAUCUGGAGGAACACCGGUGGCGAAGGCGGCAUCCUGGACCGGUAUUGACGCUGAGGAGCGAAAGCCAGGGGAGCAAACGGG